rnacentral:rRNA from 1 species
GACGUAGGGCGCGAGCGUUGUCCGGAUUUAUUGGGCGUAAAGAGCUCGUAGGCGGCUUGUCGCGUCGACUGUGAAAUCCCGCGGCUCAACUGCGGGUCUGCAGUCGAUACGGGCAGGCUAGAGUUCGGUAGGGGAGACUGGAAUUCCUGGUGUAGCGGUGAAAUGCGCAGAUAUCGGGAAGAACACCCGUGGCGAAGGCGGCACUCUGGGACGGUACUGACGCUGAGACGCGAAAGCGUGGGGAGCGAACAGG